UAAUACAGAGGUCUCAAGCGUUGUUCGGAUUCAUUGGGCGUAAAGGGUGCGUAGGCUGCGAGGUAAGUCUGGUGUGAAAUCCCGGGGCUCAACCCCGGAACUGCACUGGAUACUGCUUUGCUAGAGUACUGGAGAGGGAACUGGAAUUUACGGUGUAGCAGUGAAAUGCGUAGAUAUCGUAAGGAAGACCAGCGGCGAAGGCGAGUUCCUGGACAGUUACUGACGCUGAGGCACGAAGGCCAGGGGAGCAAACGGGAUUAGAUACCCCGGUAGUCCUGGCAGUAAACGGUGCGCGUUUGGUGUGGGAGGAUUCGACCCCUUCCGUGCCGGAGCUAACGCGUUAAACGCGCCGCCUGGGGAGUACGGUCGCAAGAUUA
rnacentral:rRNA from 1 species